UUUACGUGUGACAGUGGUGUAAGCAGUUAAUCCUGCUUGAAAGUCUUUGUUAAAAAUGUUAGACUCCAGUGAAAAGUUGUAUAAAAUUAAGUACUAUUAAGUGUUUUAUUCCCUGUGUCGUUUUGGACGUGAAGCAAACCAAAUAUUUCAUUUUUCAUGUAACGGGCAAUCUUGCAAGCUAUGCAAGCUGCCAAUUCCAAACUGUCACAAAUUGCUCUGUCAAAGAACUAUGACCUUAGCAUUCCAUCACGCUACUCUGUUGCUCUAUUUAGAGCUUUGUAAAACUUACAACGGAAGACAUACUAACCAGUGGGAAGGUCACCAAUGAUAGAACCAACACACCACUGUCUCAUUUGACUACCCUUUGCCUAGUCAUCAGAAACAGCUUUAAUCUGACUAGUGCAUCGUGUCCCUCUUUGUUUGGAUUCCAAUGAUUAACCACUACCAACCAACUUACAUAGAAAUGGACAUCACAGCCAGUCCUGUUUGGUCUGCUGAGCCUUCUCCUUCAGCAAAAUUACCAGCCCAACAACUUUUGCGUCUUUGGACAACAGGAACUAUGCCAUCAUCUUCUGUUCCACGCAAAAUUGAAUCAAAAUUCUAAGUUUUGCCCGUUCUUCACUUCAUAAUCCUUCGUCGCCUGGCUUUUCGCCCCGUCCGUCGCCUCGCCUGUAGCCGUCUUCGCCUCGCCCGUCGCCUUGCCCAUCGCCUCGCCCGUCGCCCCGUCUUCGCCUCUCCCGUCGCCUCGCCCGUCGUCGUCGCCCUGUCAUCGCCUCGUGGUCACGCCGUCUACGCCUCCCCUAUCGCCCCUUCAUCACCUCGUGGUCGCCUCGUCUUCGUGGUAUGGUUGUGUUUUGUUUUAUGUUGUAUUAUGUUUUGCAAACUAACACGUUGGCUGCCACCCACCCACUUUGAUCCCCUUUUUUUUUGUAGCUUGACAGGGACGGGCCGCGCUGUUCUGCUCCAUGGUCUAUCUGCCAUGGGGUGGAGCAGCGCCACUGCCCAAGAUUGGCCGAAUGGCCCCUAGGCAACGCACCACAGGGAAUUCCCUUUUUCGAUGCGGCUGAUGAGACCUGGGGUGUGCGUUCCCAAAAAGGUCUCAUCGCCGUGUCAGCCCGGCCUACCCGGCCCCCUUGGUCGCUAUCCCUAGGAUAGCGACACUAGCGACAGUAGAAAAUGGUGGCGUGGCAGCCAACGUGUUAGUUUAAG